AAACCCCAUCUUCUUACCCAUGACCGGCUGCUUCUUUUUGAGAAGGGAAAGUCUUUCAUUUUUUCUACUUUUUUCAUUCCUCAUCAAAUUUAAUCAUAAGGUCAAAUUAGGAUUUCUUAGUAAUAUCAAGUAGGAAACCAAUUUCUAAGUUCAUUUUCAUCUACCAUCUCAUUUCUCAAAACAUAGAGUUUAUGAGUUUAGUGAGAUAAAGCCAUGACUAGAGGGAGAAAACUCCAAGAAAGGUAAGAAAGUGGAUUUCCACCAUCUCCAUAUUCUAUAGUUGGAAUUUUAGCAUAAGAAAGUUGUCUGGAAGGGUGUGUAUUAAUGUUUUGUUUAUAUUUUGUGUUAAGAAAUGUUGGAUGGAUGGAGAGGGUAAUUUUUAGUGAAUAAUUGGAUGGAUUGAAGUGUUGAGAAAGCAUGAGGAAGCCUUGUGGUGAAACUUUUACUACGAAUGAGGUAAGUACUUUGCAUUCUCUUAACUUCCCCUCAAUAAAAUAAUUAAGGAAGUUGUUAAAAUGAUGUAAUAAAGUAUAUAAUGACUAUGUAUGUUUAAAAUGUGAUUGAGAAUAUAUGAGAAAAAUAAUAGUUUAACAAGUUGUGAUAAUUAGAAGGAACAUGUUGGAAUAUAUGAAUUUGGCUUAAUGGCAUUAAAAUUUGGGUUAGGAGUGUCAAAAGAAUUAUUGCUAUACCAUAAUGUAGAGAAAUGUGGAUUAUUGCUAAAAUGAACUAAAGGUUGAAUUUUUUUUAUAAAAAAUCUUAAUGAGUGAGAAUGAGGAAGUCAAAAAAGUGCAUGGUGUUUAUAUAUGAAUGUGGAAAUUAUUGAUGAGAGCAUUAAGUGCUUGAAUAGCUUAUAAAUUGAAUAUGUGAGAUUUAAAUGUAAGAUAAUGAAUGGAUGCUCAAAGAGUUUCAAUUAUGUGAUUUGGAUAUAUGCUUUAUAUAGUAGAACAUUAUAUAUCUCUAUGUGAGAACCAUGCUUUAUGAGGUAACAUGCUAUUUGGAAAUGGCAUAAGUGAUUAAUAUGUGUAAUGCCUUAAUAAAUUUAGUAAUUAGUGAGGAUACAAUUAAUUGUAACAUGGCAAAUAAUGCACUUUAAAAGUAAGAAAGACAAAAUAGGUAAGCACCCUUAUAUAUUGGAAAUAAAUGAAAAAUAAAUCUCAAGGGCCUUGAGUACUAAUGUUGUGCUACAAAGAAAUACAGAAUGAAUGUCCUUAACAUAUGGUUUUAAGUGAACUCUUGCAUAAAACUUAUAAAAGAGUCAAGCAACUAAGAUUAAGACAAUUUAGGAUAAUCUACGAGUACUUAUUAAGCUCUCGAGCUUAACGCGUUAGUGGUUUAGCAUAGGUGAAAAUUGUUCUAUGAAGAUUGAACUAGUGACUUGGAGAUAUUACAUCACCACUUGAAGAAAAGACUUGUGAUAUUGUCUUAGAAUUUGUAGUAAAAUGACAUGUAAUAAAGACUUAGUCCCUUAUAAAGAGUUGUAAUUAUUUAUUUUAUGUCGAUAAAGGGCAAUGUUUUUUAAUUCAAUGACUGUUGAGCAUCUUCUUAAGAAUGCGAGUUCUAUGUUGAAUGAUGGUUUUAAAUCCCAUUUAAAUGUGUUCUAAAUUAUUCAAAACUUAUUAGUAUGUUUUGAGAAUGUUUGGAAUAAUUUGUAGUGUUUCCGGGUUAUACUGAGGGUGAUGUUGCAACCUCAUCUUGCAAUGUCAAAAUAUUCACCUAUGACGUUGUGACCUCAUCUACAUCAUGCUUUUUAUAAACAGUAAGUGACAUCGCGACAUGAUAUCCCAUGUCGUGACCUCGCACAUUGUUCUAGCAUUUUGCACCACUUUGCUCCACUACAUUGUUUUGAUCCAUUUUGGCUUCUAAGGGCUCAUUUUUUACCCCGGGCACUUCCGAUUACCCAUUAAAAUUUUUUAAAUGGUUUUAAGAUGAUUUUAGUGCCUUCAAUAAUGAUUUUUUUAUCUUAUUUCUAUAAUUUUAUUUAAAUUUUUCAAGGUUUAUAAAACUCUUCUCUUUUUCAACUCGAAUGACUUCGAUUUGAGUUGAAGAUCUACGAACAUUUGUUUUAUGAUUUUGACAUGACUCUAUAUGUACAUUAUGACUUGAUAUGAUUUCUAAUCAUAUUUGAAUCUUUCUAAACUUUGUCAAUUUGAUUCAAAGUACAUUAAUUUAUUGAGAAAUUGACUUUUAUACAAAAAGAAAUGGAUUAAGCAUGCAAGUGUCACCAUAACAUCUCAUAUUUGUUCUAAUUGUCAAGAUGAGUAAGGGGUGUUCUACUCCGGUGACAUUGCUCAAUAUAUGCACCUGAUAAGAAUUAAGCGGCAUAUAACUAAUGAAUCUAUUAUAAGGCACUCCUUCUUACCAUCUCCCGAUAUCGCCUCUUCUAUUGUUCAUAACAUAAUGUCCUAGUGAAUGGUGUGGAAAAGGUUAUCCCCUAUGUUUACAUUGAGGUGUGAGUUUGUCCAUUGGUCCAUUUGGUGACCUCUUUUCAACCCUUCAAUUCUCUUGAUCAUAGAUUCCGAGAUUGGUGUCCUGUCACCAGUGAUACAACGUCCGCACAUCUAGAUGGCCUCUCGCCCUAUCCUAAGUUCCUUUAUUACUCGAAUGUUUGUCGCAUUGAUUAUUGUUGUCGCUAGAGUUGUUCUUGGAGGAGCUUAAGUUGUUCUUGCAAUUUCGUAUAGCGCUGAGUCGUAAGAGUAUUGUUCUAAACUUAAGUGAGGCCAACUAGGCAGAUUGUGCAUAGGUAGCCUCGCCUUUGUGUUAUUCGAGGUGAGGAGUGUGUGCCUGGCGAUGGUGAGAUGGCUUUUGCUGCUUCUACAAGGGCGGAAUAUUCAUGUAUAACAAAUUGAAUUCGAGCGUCAAAUUUUGAAUCAAAUUGUAGCUUCUUAGAGUUUGAACUAAAGCACAACUCAAUAACACCCCUACUCACACUCAACCCUAAUGGAAGCAGCAUUUGCGAGUAUAUAUACAUCCAGGUUUUAAAGGGGAUCGAACUCAAUUUUUCUCUUUCUAAUCCACAUAUUAUUGCAGCUUAUGUAAAUUUUGUAAGAGUGUCUUGGCAUGCAUGAUAGUAAAUAUUACAUACCAUGAAAGUACGUUGGCUAGACAUGUUAGCGGUUUCGAAAGAAAACUCUGGACCAAUGUGCAACUCCUUCGCAACUUCAGGUGCAUGUUUCAAAAGAAACAGUAUAGAAUUGGAGUCCACCACGGCCACGUCAUAACUUGAAUCAACAAUCUGAUUUGCAUCUGUCAAGCCGACAAACAAAACAGUAAUUUUAUUUUUUAAAUUGCACUACCACCAUUACAACUUCUCGACAGAGGAGAAACUAUUACUGCGAAUUGACCCUUGAAAAUCUCUAAGCUGUUAAUAAAACAGUUGGCCUUCACUAGAAAAACACUCAGAAUUCGGUUUAAUCCUUUCAGAUUUUUUGAGCAACUCAAAUCAUUAAAUAAGGCAAGUUUGAGUCGCUUAAUAUUUGAGAAUUUAAUACUUGAAUUUUUUUAAUCUUUAGAAUGAAAAACAAAACGGGAAUUAAAGUCAUGUUUGAAGACGGCAGCAAACUCAAGCAUGUUUCAGCGAGGCUUUUUGACUAGCAACUGCAGUUUUAGAAAUACCUGCAGUGAGAAAUGAAUGCUGGAGAAUAACUCUCUUAGGUGCAUCUGUACUAUAUGGAAAGAACUGCGAUGACAGAGCCCAAGCAAUCACACCAAGAUGUAGCAAGAACUGCAAGAUGGAUGACCUGGCUAACCAAUUGCCGCAAAUAGAUAUUAGGGGGCCUAGACUCC
rnacentral:lncRNA from 1 species